rnacentral:rRNA from 1 species
ACGGAAGGCAGCAGCUAAGAAUAUUCCGCAAUGGACGAAAGUCUGACGGAGCGACGCCGCGUGGAUGAUGAAGGUCGGAAGAUUGUAAAAUCCUUUUAUAACUGAGGAAUAAGCAGUGUGAGAGAAACGCAUUGCGGUGACUGUAGGUUAUGAAUAAGCAACGGCUAAUUACGUGCCAGCAGCCGCGGUAACACGUAAGUUGCGAGCGUUGUUCGGAAUUAUUGGGCGUAAAGGGCAUGUAGGCGGUUUUGCAAGCUUGAUGUGAAAGGCAGGAGCUUAACUCCUGGACUGCGCCGGAAACUGCAAAACUAGAGUGACUGAGGAGCAAUCAGAAUUCCAGGUGUAGGGGUGAAAUCUGUAGAUAUCUGGAAGAAUACCAAUGGCGAAGGCAGGUUGCUAGCAGAUGACUGACGCUGAGGUGCGAAGGUGCGGGGAGCAAACAGGAUUAGAUACCCUGGUA